AAUUUCUGGUCAGAAAAAUUUUGCAGAAAAUUUAAAAAAAUUAUAUGCAUCGGGUUGAAUCUUUCAAAUUUGCGCGCUAUAUUAUAGUUUCCAAGAGUGUUACGCGAAUAUUUCUGCGCAUGCGUAAAAUAUUAUUUCUAAAGGACAACCAUAAUAAAAAUUAUUACACUUCCGCAGUUAUAUUAACCUAACAAUGCUUAUAUUCUAUUUUUCUUGGUGUUGUUGUUGUUGUUGUUGUUUUCACAAGUUAUUAAUUAUAAUAAAAUAAGUUAUAAAUGACAAUACAUAGAGAAUAAAAGAAGGUAUUGCAUUUAUACCUACACUAACGUCAACGCAAUAAUGUUUAUUUUUGUUUAUGUAACAAUAAGUUGUGGUAUAAUUGAAAAUGUAGGUAAAUGAAAAAUAAAAUAAACAAAAAGAGAUAUAAAUGAAAUUAAAAACCUUAACGUUAGAGUUUAAGAUUGGAGACAGAAUAACAAUGAUUCCUUUGCGGGGAUUUAUUUUACAGAGUUAUAAAUAAAAUAUAGAACCUUAACAUUUGAGUUUUAUAAUAAAGACAGAGUAACAAUGAUUCCUUUGCGGUGAUAUUUUUUUAACAGAUCCGAAUGAAUGAAUCGAAAAAAACAUAACUAUUAUCAUAAAAUAAAAAGAAAUUAACAAUCACAAUUUUCAAGCUUAAACGAAUCCAUGAAAAUUAUUUAAUAGAUAACAGAUGCUUAAAUAAUAAUUAGAAUUUAUAAUUUAAAUUUAUAAAAAUAAUAAAAAAAAAAAUAAAAUAGAUUAUAUUAUAAACGUUGAUCUUGUGAAUAGCAUCGAUUUGUUGUAAAAAAAAAAAAUUCUGACAUUCAUGCACUGAAUGUCUAAAAAAUUGUAGCAAAUUUGAAAGCAUGGAUGCAUGUGUUAUAAACAAUAUCUAGUUAAUUUAAUUUUUUGAUUAUCUGACAAGAUCAAAUAAUUAUUGCAGCUUACAAAAAAUAUUUAUUUUACAACAAAAAAUCAUUAUUUGGCUGUAAAUGUUAAUAAUGCGUUACUAUAAAUCAAUUGAUUGAAUAUUUUUUUUUUUUUCAUAAAUUAUUUACAUAAAUAAAUUGUAUUUACAAU